rnacentral:rRNA from 1 species
ACGGGGGGGGCAAGCGUUGUUCGGAAUUACUGGGCGUAAAGGGCUCGUAGGCGGCCAACUAAGUCGGAUGUGAAAUCCCCAGGCUUAACCUGGGAACUGCAUCCGAUACUGGAUGGCUUGAAUCCGGGAGAGGGAUGCAGAAUUCCAGGUGUAGCGGUGAAAUGCGUAGAUAUCGAGAGGAACACCCGCGGCGAAGGCGGGUUGCUGGGCUGACACUGACGCUGAUGCGCGAAAGCCAGGGGAGCGAACGGGA